CUUCGAAAGGGGAUCCGG
rnacentral:snRNA from 1 species